rnacentral:rRNA from 1 species
GACGUAGGGGGCGAGCGUUGUCCGGAUUUAUUGGGCGUAAAGAGCUCGUAGGCGGCUCAGAAAGUCGGGUGUGAAACCUCCAGGCUCAACCUGGAGACGCCACCCGAUACUGCUGUAGCUAGAGUCCGGUAGGGGAGCAGGGAAUAUCCGGUGUAGCGGUGAAAUGCUUAGAUAUCGAGAGGAACACCGGUGGCGAAGGCGGCCAACUGGACAGAUACUGACGCUGAGACACGAAAGCGUGGGGAGCAAACAGG